rnacentral:lncRNA from 1 species
GUUUCAUGUCUCACUGUCCAACAGCAGUGACCUGCUGUGUUUCUGCUCUGUGAUAUUAUCUGAGAGACCUGAUGGUUGGUUCCCUGAGAAAGGAACUCAGGAUGCUCUAACCACAAGCCCAGGAUGUGGUUUGGCCACUAUUGAGUGGUUUGUUCUCUCCAUCUAUUUGGUCCUUUUCCAGGCAGGAAAUAUAACACUGACCAGAGAACCAAGUUCCUCUCUUGUAUGGAUUGUUUCUGUUAAUUAUCACUCAAAUCUGAACGGUGUGGUAGGACGGAGGGAUACCUUGAAAUCUAAGAAAAGGGGAAAAAAGUGCAAUCGCUACAGUGAUACUUUAGCAGAAGUUUCUAUUGCUAAGUAUUGUGGAGCUCAGAGGAAGAAGUAAAGGCUUCAAGACGUUGAACUUUAAGCUGAGUCUUGAAGGCGGAGUCUUCAAGUUAAAGAAGAGGGGUUAAGGAAAGUCCAGGGAGAAGGAACUGCAUGAGCUGUGAAGAACCAUGAUGCAUUCUUGGAAUUGGUAGCAUUCCCUUUGAAAUAUGGAUUGAAACCCAGGAAGCAUGAAAGAAACAAGAAUUCAAAACUUUAAAUUAAGACAAGACUAUGGUAAAGAGUUUGGCAUUGAACAUUCAGGAAAUGUAACAACUAGAACGAGUAUAAAGGGAAUAAAAUGCAAUUUGUGUUUUUAUAUUAUUGAGUUGAAGUUGUCUAAUACAUUUUAUUCACUGUAUCUUACCCAAUGCAUAGUACUUCCUGGUAAAAAUGUACUCCGAGCUCACUCAUUCAGAAUCUAAUUUACACAUUGAUUUGUACACUUUACAAUCAGUUAAGUAUAGUAGUGCAACAGAAGAAUUAUUCAAAUUUCACUAUGAAUAUCUUUAUCUCUGGGUUUCCUGGAAAAACAGAAGCCAGUACAUGGGGCUUUCUCACUUAAUCUAGGUGGGGUGUAACCUUGAACUCAGCUUCCCACAGAGUCAGCUUCCAGAUAAUUGGCAGCUGGCAUUCCCAGAAUACUUCUGUAAAAACUGGCAUCUAAUCCAGAAAUGGGGACAAAGGGUUAGGAGAGCAGUCCGAAAAGUUUCUUGGGGAAGGCCUUGCAAGCAUGAGUAGAAAAAAGAAUGGGGUCAGUCAUUUUAGACAGAGAGGGUAAUAUGGUUUGGAUGUGUGUCCUCUCCAAAUCUCUUGUCCAAAUGUGUUUCUCAAUGUUAGAAGGGAGGCUGUUGGGAGGCGAUUGGAUCGUCAAGGCGCAUCUCUCAUGAAUGGUUUAGCACCGUCCCUUUGGUGAUAAGUGAGUUCUCUCUCGAUUCAUGCAAGAUAUGAUUAUUUAAAAGUGUGUGGCACCUCUCCCUUUUCUCUCUUGCUCCUUCUUUUACCAUGUGAUACAACAGCUUCCCCCUUUGCCUUCUGCCAUGAUUGUAAGCUUCUUGAAGCCCUUACCGGUAGCAGAUGCUGGAGCCAUGCUUGCAGAGCCUGCA